GGUUAACCGAAUAGGGGAGCCGAAGGGAAACCGAGUCUUAACUGGGCGUUAAGUUGCAGGGUAUAGACCCGAAACCCGGUGAUCUAGCCAUGGGCAGGUUGAAGGUUGGGUAACACUAACUGGAGGACCGAACCGACUAAUGUUGAAAAAUUAGCGGAUGACUUGUGGCUGGGGGUGAAAGGCCAAUCAAACCGGGAGAUAGCUGGUUCUCCCCGAAAGCUAUUUAGGUAGCGCCUCGUGAAUUCAUCUUCGGGGGUAGAGCACUGUUUCGGCUAGGGGGUCAUCCCGACUUACCAACCCGAUGCAAACUGCGAAUACCGAAGAAUGUUAUCACGGGAGACACACGGCGGGUGCUAACGUCCGUCGUGAAGAGGGAAACAACCCAGACCGCCAGCUAAGGUCCCAAAGUCAUGGUUAAGUGGGAAACGAUGUGGGAAGGCACAGACAGCCAGGAUGUUGGCUUAGAAGCAGCCAUCAUUUAAAGAAAGCGUAAUAGCUCACUGGUCGAGUCGGCCUGCGCGGAAGAUGUAACGGGGCUAAACCAUGCACCGAAGCUGCGGCAGCGACACUAUGUGUUGUUGGGUAGGGGAGCGUUCUGUAAGCCGUUGAAGGUGGCCUGUGAGGGUUGCUGGAGGUAUCAGAAGUGCGAAUGCUGACAUAAGUAACGAUAAUGCGGGUGAAAAACCCGCACGCCGGAAGACCAAGGGUUCCUGUCCAACGUUAAUCGGGGCAGGGUGAGUCGACCCCUAAGGCGAGGCCGAAAGGCGUAGUCGAUGGGAAACAGGUUAAUAUUCCUGUACUUGGUGUUACUGCGAAGGGGGGACGGAGAAGGCUAUGUUAGCCGGGCGACGGUUGUCCCGGUUUAAGCAUGUAGGCGGAAUGACCAGGUAAAUCCGGUCGUUUAUUAACGCUGAGGUGUGAUGACGAGGCACUACGGUGCUGAAGUAACAAAUGCCCUGCUUCCAGGAAAAGCCUCUAAGCAUCAGGUAACACGAAAUCGUACCCCAAACCGACACAGGUGGUCAGGUAGAGAAUACCAAGGCGCUUGAGAGAACUCGGGUGAAGGAACUAGGCAAAAUGGUGCCGUAACUUCGGGAGAAGGCACGCUGAUAUGUAGGUGAAGUGGUUUACCCAUGGAGCUGAAAUCAGUCGAAGAUACCAGCUGGCUGCAACUGUUUAUUAAAAACACAGCACUGUGCAAACACGAAAGUGGACGUAUACGGUGUGACGCCUGCCCGGUGCCGGAAGGUUAAUUGAUGGGGUUAUCCGUAAGGAGAAGCUCUUGAUCGAAGCCCCGGUAAACGGCGGCCGUAACUAUAACGGUCCUAAGGUAGCGAAAUUCCUUGUCGGGUAAGUUCCGACCUGCACGAAUGGCGUAAUGAUGGCCAGGCUGUCUCCACCCGAGACUCAGUGAAAUUGAACUCGCUGUGAAGAUGCAGUGUACCCGCGGCAAGACGGAAAGACCCCGUGAACCUUUACUAUAGCUUGACACUGAACACUGGUCCUUGAUGUGUAGGAUAGGUGGGAGGCUUUGAAGUGUGGACGCCAGUCUGCAUGGAGCCAUCCUUGAAAUACCACCCUUUAAUGGCUGGUGUUCUAACGUAGACCCGUAAUCCGGGUUGCGGACAGUGUCUGGUGGGUAGUUUGACUGGGGCGGUCUCCUCCUAAAGAGUAACGGAGGAGCACGAAGGUUAGCUAAUCCUGGUCGGACAUCAGGAGGUUAGUGCAAAGGCAUAAGCUAGCUUGACUGCGAGAGUGACGGCUCGAGCAGGUGCGAAAGCAGGUCUUAGUGAUCCGGUGGUUCUGAAUGGAAGGGCCAUCGCUCAACGGAUAAAAGGUACUCCGGGGAUAACAGGCUGAUACCGCCCAAGAGUUCAUAUCGACGGCGGUGUUUGGCACCUCGAUGUCGGCUCAUCACAUCCUGGGGCUGAAGUAGGUCCCAAGGGUAUGGCUGUUCGCCAUUUAAAGUGGUACGCGAGCUGGGUUUAGAACGUCGUGAGACAGUUCGGUCCCUAUCUGCCGUGGGCGCUGGAGAAUUGAGGGGGGCUGCUCCUAGUACGAGAGGACCGGAGUGGACGCAUCACUGGUGUUCGGGUUGUCAUGCCAAUGGCAUUGCCCGGUAGCUAAAUGCGGAAGAGAUAAGUGCUGAAAGCAUCUAAGCACGAAACUUGCCCCGAGAUGAGUUCUCCCUGAGACUAUAAGUCUCCUGAAGGAACGUUGAAGACUACGACGUUGAUAGGUCGGGUGUGUAAGCGUAGCGAUACGUUGAGCUAACCGAUACUAAUGAACCGUGAGGCUUAACCUU
rnacentral:rRNA from 1 species